AUGGAGAUCAAGCCAGAAGUGAUUCUCGUGGCCUGUUUGUCAUUCGGCAUCAGCAACAGAGGCAGUGCAGCAGGGUGCAGAACUUCAGAUCUUGUUGUCACCUCGCACACCUACCCGGAUCCGGGGGGAAGGCCAGUGCAAUACAAGAAGCUGGUGAACAACUGCGAUUGCACGCAGAAGAACGUGAAGCUGGCGUGCCCAAGGUUCAACUCUUCCAUCGAGGUCUACCCGGACACAGCCAUCAAGCCGGACGGCGACGGCAUUCUUUGCUCCCUCUAUGCCGGCCGCCCGGUUGGGCCUAAGGAGAAGGUCUUCUUCGACAUCCACUCAAGUACCGAGUUCAGCUUCCAGCCCGUCUCCUCUACCAUUGUAUGUUAG
rnacentral:rRNA from 1 species